rnacentral:rRNA from 1 species
UACGUAGGGGUCUAGCGUUGUCCGGAAUCAUUGGGCGUAAAGAGCUCGUAGGCGGUUCGGCAAGUCGGAUGUGAAAUCUCCACGCUCAACGUGGAGGGGCCAUUCGAAACUGCCGUGACUCGAGUCCGGUAGGGGAGUGCGGAAUUCCCGGUGUAGCGGUGAAAUGCGCAGAGAUGUGGAGGAACACCGAUGGCGAAGGCAGCCCCCUGGGCUAACACUGACGCUCAUGCACGAAAGCGUGGGGAGCAAACAGG